AUGUAACCGCCAAGGGGGUAGGAGCCCAGAACUAUUCUCUGCUGAAGAGGACAUGCUUGCAGCCAGGAGAGGCAAGGAGGAGUGUGACCGGGAAGCAAAGGUGACAGCUCAGGCAGGACAAUACGACACUCGGCUCAGCAUGUGGUUGCUUAGAAAGCAGAAGCAUGCCUUCCUUUCUUCGAAGUAUAUAACGCAACGGUCUAUGGAAACAAAGAAAUGAGUAAUGAGCUCAUACGCAAGUUUAUCCCGAUUGCCCAGGAGAGGGAGGCUGUUGACAAUCUCUAGAAAUGCAACAAUGAGGCAGAAUGGGAAGCAUGAAAUCAUCAUCAACUCGCCAUGCAAGAAAUACUAUGCUAAAGAUGCCCUACUCAAAUGUGAGGAAGUCUUCCAAAUUCGAAGCCAUAAAAUGUGAUGGCUGAUGUUGUGCCACCUUGCAGCCAUGUCCUCUCUCCCUCCUGAAGUUGAAAUCCAGACACCUGUCCCACCAUUGUUCUGUCUGUGAAGCUCAUUCUAAUAAAC